rnacentral:piRNA from 1 species
UNGUUUUACAUAGGUCCCUUGUCCAGCUC